AUCCAGUCGUUAUUUAACGAUCACUCAGUUCACUCCAUUAACCAAUUCCUCGAAAAAAGUAUUGGAUAGGGGGCGCUGAAUUAUUCGAGUUAGUACAUGGAGGAAAGGUCUAUUUCAAAUGUUAUUCAAAGAUUAGAAGCGACGAUUCAAUUUCUAUUUGUGUAUUGUAUCUGUCAUGGUUGAAACGGCACCAGUAACAUAUCAGGAUAGACAACAGAAGUCUAGUGAGAAAAAUGUUAUGAAACACCAGCAAAAAAGACUAGAUUGUUAUUCAGUCCUAACUUAUACAGUGUUUCUGAAGAUGGAGAUUAGAUCAGGCCUAUCCAGAAGCAAGAAAAGGGACAAUUGUUAACACGUACAUCUACAGAGAGAGACAUGUUUUAAAAAUAGAUUUAUUUUCAAUUUAAGAAAAACCUGUUUAACUUUUACUAUUUUGUAUCUGUUUAUUUUACAUUUAUAUGUUGAUAUUUUGUUUUUUAAAAUUGCUGCACAGUAUUUCUAUUCAGUCCCACAUAACAAAAUCAGCUGAAGAAAUUGAUAUUUUCAUAUUUCAAGGGAGUGUCCUUUUGCAUUGUUGAUAGCAGAUAUAUGUAUUGUCUUAAGUUGGGUUUAAAAACAGUCAGAUCGCAACUUCAAA